AUGCUCCCUUUGGCAGCACAUGUUCUAAAAUUGGAAUGAUACAGAGGAGAAUAGCAUGGCCCCUGCACAAGGAUGACACACAAAUUCAUAAAGUGUUUCAGUGCUGU
ensembl:snRNA U6 U6 spliceosomal RNA